UACGGGGGGAGCAAGCGUUGUUCGGAUUUACUGGGCGUAAAGGGUGCGUAGGCGGGCAGGUAAGUCAGUGGUGAAAUCUUCGAGCUUAACUCGGAAACUGCCAUUGAUACUAUCUGUCUUGAAUAUUGUGGAGGUAAGCGGAAUAUGUCAUGUAGCGGUGAAAUGCUUAGAUAUGACAUAGAACACCUAUUGCGAAGGCAGCUUACUACGCAUAUAUUGACGCUGAGGCACGAAAGCGUGGGGAUCAAACAGG
rnacentral:rRNA from 1 species